UACGUAGGGGGCAAGCGUUGUCCGGAAUUAUUGGGCGUAAAGAGCACGCAGGCGGUUUGGCAAGUCGGACGUGAAAAUCCGGGGCUCAACCCCGGACCUGCAUCCGAAACUGCCCGACUAGAGGUAGGUAGGGGAGAUCGGAAUUCCUGGUGUAGCGGUGAAAUGCGCAGAUAUCAGGAGGAACACCGGUGGCGAAGGCGGGUCUCUGGGCAGUAACUGACGCUGAGGAGCGAAAGCGUGGGGAGCGAACAGG
rnacentral:rRNA from 1 species